CCAGGGAAGCCCCGCUCUCCACUCCGUCUGAGGGACUCCCUUGCCCCUCCUAGCCGGCUCAGGACUCCCCCGUAGUCUACACGACCCCUCCCCCAUUUCAGACUCCCCAAACUCCGCCUCCAUUUCCGGGGACUCCGGGGUUCUCCCAGAGACAUGGGCGCCCCUCCCCACUGUCGGUCAGGGCCCUCACACGGCGCUGGAGGCCCCUUCCCUAGCCUUAGGCCCGGGACUACGCACCCCCAGCUCCGACACCCCGCCUACCAUCUGGGGACGCCACGCAAUUAGAGGAGAGGAGGAAAAUGCUAAAGGGAUGGAGCCUCAGAGGUGCAGAAGAGAAACCUUGUCUGCAUCAGCCAAAGAUACCAACUGCUUUGCCAACUGUUCUGGGGCCCAGCGGCUAGAUGAAACAAGAAAGCAGCCGACGGCACAUCCUUUAGGGGAAAAGACACUCGUUAGUCACAGAGAAUCUCCCUGCGAGACUUCCACCAAGCAGGACACCACCAGACCGCUGGGCUGCUGGCUGCAGGUCACACAAACCCUGUGACACAGGAUAGCUGCCCUCACUGAUGCCACCAGAGGCGUCCAUUGUGCUGGGUGUGCACGGGGACCCUGGGACAGCCUCACUCCCUUGUGUACCCCCAGCUUUUAAUGCAUUGCCUGCCAGAGCAGGUCCUCAGUGAAUAUAUACUGAAUCCCUGUUAUAAUCCCCAAUUUACACACCAGGAAGCUGAGGCUCAGGCAGAAGAAGAAACUUGCCCCAGGUCACAAGCCAGGCAGAUGUGGAGCUGAUGCUUCACAGGAGCCCCAGUGCUUCCACCUGACACUGGACUGCAUGGAGGAAGGUCUGAGAGGGAUCACCAAGACUCACUGGAGGAGGAGGCAGGGAUUUCUCCUGGGGCAGUACUGGGAUUGGAGCUGCAUGGUGGCACAGCCAGACCAUCAGGCCUCAGGGAGGCUGAGGUGGGCCCGACACCAGGAUUGCCCAAGUAAGGGAGAGGAAGGGAGAGUUAGGACACCAGUAGCAGAUGCCUAAGUUCCAACCUUGGCUUCUGGCUCUAAAUCCAGCGCUCUGCUCCAAGAACUCCAGCUUCUUAAUCUCACUAAGCUUCAGUUUCCUUAUGUGUAAAAUGGGAAUAAUAAUGAUACUUGUGGUGAAUAGGAUUUUGCAGUAUUGCUUUGAAAUUCCUUUGUCAACCCUCCCUUUUCUCUCUUCAAUCUAGAUCUUGUCCCUGUUGGUUCAAAGAAAGGAAUAAAAUAGAAACUUUAUUUCUUUCUUAAAAAAUUUUAUUAUUAUUAUACUUUAAG
rnacentral:lncRNA from 1 species